UACGGGGGGGCAAGCGUUGUUCGGAAUUACUGGGCGUAAAGGGCUCGUAGGUGGCCAACUCAGUCGGACGUGAAAUCCCUCGGCUUAACCGGGGAACUGCGUCCGAUACUGGAUGGCUUGAGAUCGGGAGAGGGAUGCGGAAUUCCAGGUGUAGCGGUGAAAUGCGUAGAUAUCUGGAGGAACACCGGUGGCGAAGGCGGCAUCCUGGACCGACACUGACACUGAGGAGCGAAAGCCAGGGGAGCAAACGGGAUUAGAUACCCCGGUAGUCCUGGCCCUAAACGAUGAAUGCUUGGUGUGACGGGUAUCGAUCCCUGUCGUGCCGAAGCUAACGCAUUAAGCAUUCCGCCUGGGGAGUACGGUCGCAAGGCUGAA
rnacentral:rRNA from 1 species